rnacentral:rRNA from 1 species
UACGAAGGGGGCUAGCGUUGUUCGGAAUCACUGGGCGUAAAGCGCACGUAGGCGGAUCUUUAAGUCAGAGGUGAAAGCCUGGGGCUCAACUCCAGAACUGCCUUUGAUACUGGGGAUCUCGAGUCCGGGAGAGGUGAGUGGAACUGCGAGUGUAGAGGUGAAAUUCGUAGAUAUUCGCAAGAACACCAGUGGCGAAGGCGGCUCACUGGCCCGGUACUGACGCUGAGGUGCGAAAGCGUGGGGAGCAAACAGG